UCCGGGAGAUUUAAUUAUCAC
ensembl:piRNA 21ur-2293 ncRNA